CUGCUUCGUCUUUCUUUACUUUUAUGUAAACGCUUCCUAACCCGAAGCCGCCGACGAGUGCUUGCAUCGUUCUUGCCAGGAAAAGCUGCUUUGUUCGGUAAAUUAUCUUCCAAAAUCUUGAACAGAGGAAUAUUAUCUCAACUAGGCUUAAAAUCCAUGAACUGCACACCAGGUGUUUAUUAAUAUUACUCUGUUCUUUUUCUCGUUGAAGUUGUAGUCCAUGGAAUCCUUCUUCUGGCCAAGUCAAUGAGGAAUCUUCUUCUUUUAUGCUAGAGAUGUGAUUUUGGGGUUUUGAAUUAUCCAGUGAGCCUAUAAUUUCCAUGGCGAACUCUAGUGCAUUCAGUUGCUGUGGAAUCUGAAAACCCAGAUUACAAAUAGUUUCUUCAAGCAACUCAAGGCUACCAUUAAAGACAACUGACCCGCCAGACAGAAUCAAGAAUUCAGAGAUAUAACCAAGAAUUCUAUAGCUUGGUUGGUGAAUAGAUAACACUACAGUUGUUUGCUUUGUUUUUGCCAUUGAAGCUAAUAGCUCAAUCACCUGAAGUGCAGAGGUGCUGUCAAGGCCUGAAGUUGGUUCAUCCAAGACUAACAAUGGAGGUUCCUGAAUCAUAUCAAUGGCAAUGGAAACCCUUUUCUUUUCUCCACCUGAGAUGCCUCUGUUCUCUUCAUCUCCAACAAAGCUAUCAGCAACAUGGGUAAGGCCAAGCUCUUGUAUCAAUCUCUCUACUCUCUCUUCUUUCUCUUUUGAGCUGAUUUCUUUGAGCCUGAACUUUGCACCAUACAUCAGAGUUUCCUUCACAGUGAGCAAAGGAAGUAAGUCAUCUUCUUGUGCUACAAAUCCACAUAUCUUUCUCAAAUGAGCAGGACUUGUCACCUUAUGACGAUUGAUGGAGAUAGCACUGGCAUCGAAUUCGCUGUCUUUUACUCUGCCGGAGAUUAUCCUGAGAAGACUUGAUUUUCCUG
rnacentral:lncRNA from 1 species